CAGUAGCCGCGGGAAAACAGAGGGUGCGAGCGUUAAUCGGAUUUACUGGGCGUAAAGCGUGCGUAGGCGGCUAAUUGAGUCGGAUGUGAAAUCCCCGAGCUUAACUUGGGAAUUGCAUUCGAUACUGGUUAGCUAGAGUGUGGGAGAGGAUGGUAGAAUUCCAGGUGUAGCGGUGAAAUGCGUAGAGAUCUGGAGGAAUACCGAUGGCGAAGGCAGCCAUCUGGCCUAACACUGACGCUGAGGUAAGAAAGCAUGGGGAGCAAACAGGAUUAGAUACCCGUGUAGUCCCUGUCUCUUAUAA
rnacentral:rRNA from 1 species